rnacentral:rRNA from 1 species
GACGAACCGUGCGAACGUUUAUUCGGAAUCACUGGGCUUAAAGCGCGUGUAGGCGGGACGGCACGUCGGUCGCUGAAAGCCCCCGGCUCAACCGGGGAACGGGGCGCCGAUACGACCGUCCUGGAGGGACGUAGGGGGACCUGGAACAUCCGGUGGAGCGGUGAAAUGCGUUGAGAUCGGAUGGAACGCCCGUGGCGAAAGCGAGGUCCUGGACGUUUUUCUGACGCUGAGACGCGAAAGCCAGGGGAGCGAACGGG